AACUACAACUCGAACAGUGUUCAAUGAUAAGAAGAUAACAACUGGAGGUAUACUCGAUAGUGUGACUAUCAACAAAUGUAGAACACUAACACAAAGGAUAGAUAUGUUACAAAGGGAGACUUGCUCAAAGUAAAGAAACCUCUGAAAAGACUUCACUUGUGCCCUUGAAACAAUGCUCACAGCAGCGAGCAAGAAAUAGUCGAUAUCGACGUUGAAGAGACCUAACAGAUAGGUUAUAUGGUAUCCUAUCUGAUGUAAUCUCGCUUGCUUCUUCUUUCGAUGUUAUCUCUUUCAGCUGGAUUCCCCAUGAGAGAAAUUCAGUUGCUGAUAUGUUAGCAAAACAGAUCUUGGAUGUUGAACUUGCCAUUAUGGCUGCACCUAACUUCUGUUAAGGUUUUAAUAUAAGUGUGUUUCAAAAAAAAAAAAACUCUCAAAAAAUGUUUCUCAUAAAUAUAAAUUAACAAAAAGCUAAUACCAUAUCAAAGAACUCUAGGUUGAUACAAAGAGUUUUCUUAUUUGAUUGAUAACGAAGGCAUAGCCUUAUAUACAGACGAUUACUCUGGAAUAAGUUUUGGUAAUUUACCUAUGUAAAGUUUGUAAACAUUAACUAUAAACCAUUCCAUUUUCUCUCAGAACUUCAAAUGCAAAGGAAUAUGUGUUCAAGUGACAUUUUUCUUUCUUAAAAUGUGUUCAAUUACGUUAGCCAUACGUUGACUGAUAUCUCAUAUUUUUCCUUGGAACAAAAUGUUAACUGUUUCUUGAAAUGUUAUCUGUCAGUGUAAACUUGAUUAAAACUGGUGUAAAUACUCUGUUUUUUUUUUUUUGCGGUUCGAACGUGCGAUUAUAUUCUAAAACUUGUAUGAUUUCACAAAAUCAAAUUAUUAAAAGAUAUUGACAAUUAACUCAUUUGUGUUCCCUCGGCUCUAUAACACUGACUUGAGUGACUUCGGCAUCCUAUCUCUCGUAAGGAAGUUGAUAUUGGCUCCAAUCAAAAUCUCUAGAAGUCUCUUGACUCGGACUGAGGAUCUAACCACUAAUAUUUUUAACAGUACAUCUCUUUUAGCUUCGCUUGGAGUCAUUUCGUGUUUGACAGUAAGCUAUACUGAUGCAUUGCAGCGCAUACUAUGGACCAUGGGCUUACGAGAUAAAUGUGUUUAUAUUGUUUCUAUUUUAUUUAGCCAUUAUGUUAAUUAUGAGGAUAAGUAUAACUUCUGUAGAUUAGUGUGUGGAGAGACGGUUACGAUCUCGUUAGCCUAGUAUAUAUAGUUUGAUCUAUAGCUUUGUAAACAUUAUUGAUAUAUUGAAUAAGAAAAACCCUAGAACUUUCAGUUCUUCUUUCUUGUCUUCGGUAUUCUCCGAUUACCAAGAACCCUCGUUUGAACGGCUAUUCUUCGAAAUCAACGGUCAUCGUCGAACCGCCAUUCCUCUUGGAAUCAACGAUUUUCGAGCCUAUCCGACGCUGCCCCAUAUACACUUUGUUCUUUACAAAAAAAUGUGACAGGAGAUGCAAUGUUAUUUAACUCAUAAAAUGUAAACAUACUAUGUGAGUUAAACCUUGUAAGUUGUAACAUCGUCAGGUGCUUUAAGCUCCAUAUACACUUUGUUCUUUACAAAAAAAUUGUGACAGGACUCAGGAGAUGCAAUGUUAUAAAACUCAUAAAAUGUAAACAUACUAUGUACGUGAGUUAAACCUUGUAAGUUGUAACAUCGUCAGGUACCAUAAUCCUGAGUGACAAUUGUGUUGGAUUUGCUAAACAACAGAAGAAAAAAAGAAAAACUCUGGAAACUAUUGACAUACAAAACUUCACAAAGUCAGAUUCUUGAUAUUUAAUAUUUCAGCGGCUAAUUCUCAUACCGUAAGAGUCCGCGAAUCAAUUACCAAAGAGGAUGAACAAAGAGUCCUACAAAAAGUGAAUCAUGCCUUAUAUUGAUGAUGAAGAUUAGUUUACCUCUAUCCACCCUUUUCUACUCCUGUAACCUGAGAAUCCAUUGUGAUGGCCAUGCUGCUGUAUAGCAGCGAGUGCCAUUUAAAGCUUGAGACGUGUAAGAUCUAAGUCUAUUCGAAAAGUGGAAGAGAAAAGGAAGUGAGAGGAAGGAAGAAAGGGGUUAUCUGUAUGACCUAAUUUAAUGAGUAACCGACAAAGAACUCCGAAGAAGAAGACCAAUUCAAUUGAC
rnacentral:lncRNA from 1 species